rnacentral:misc_RNA from 1 species
CACAAUACAAUAUAAAAUAUUACACAUCUUAUGAAACUGUUUAUUGUCUUUUAUAGAUUUUAACCAAUCAAUAACAUACCAAAACAUACUUAGAAUAUAAUACACUCUGUGUAUUUAUCAAAUUUAAAACUUAGAUA